GACGAACGCUGGCGGCGUGCUUUACACAUGCAAGUCGGACGAGUGGCGAACGGGUGAGUCACGCAUCGGAACGUACCGCGUAUUGGGGGAUAACUGCCAGAAAGGGCAGCUAAUACCGCAUAUCAUCCGAGCGGCCGAUGUAUGAUUAGCUGGUUGGCGGGGUAAAGGCCCACCAAGGCGACGAUCAGUAGCGGGUCUGAGAGGAUGAACCGCCACACUGGGACUGAGACACGGCCCAGACUCCUACGGGAGGAAGCAGUGGGGAAUUUUGGACAAUGGGCGCAAGCCUGAUCCAGCCAUGCCGCGUGUCUGAAGAAGGCCUUCGGGUUGUAAAGGACUGUUAGCAGGGAGGCGGUACCUGAAGAAUAAGCACUGGCUAACUAGGUGCCAGCAGCCGCGGUAAUUC
rnacentral:rRNA from 1 species